GGGGUCCGUAGUGCUGGUGGUGUCGGUUGGAGUGCUCGUAGUCCUCGGCAAGUGCUAGGAGCAUCGAUUGGCGGAGGUACUCGGUCGGAGUGCCAGCGGUCCGUCACAGGACUGUUAAACCGUUGCUUUGCCUUUGGUCCUUGAGGCUGGGAAGCUUGUGCCCUUCCUGUGUCGUUUGGACCUUGAUCUCUCUGAACCUGAGGCUAUGUCUCCCUGUGGUAGGGGUAAUGAG